UCAUAAACCCGAUUGGAACGGAUGCCGAUUUUCCUUCAAAAUUGGCAGGAGGGAAAGCGGGGCUGAAA
rnacentral:sRNA from 1 species